AUAUCCAUCAGGCUGGGCUUGGGUGUAAUGGCUUCCACGGGGUUUAUAAAGGUGCUGAGGUCUGUUCCUGUAACGUAUGGUUCAUGGUUAUGGUUGUGCAGCCAGUUUGUUAGAGGGGAAGCAGGGGAUGAGGCUUUUCAGCCUUUGCUUUCCUUCUUCUCCUCUGAAUUUGUUACCUCCCUAUUAGAGAAUGUUCAGUUUCCCCUGACUGUUAAAGAGACCAUCUUCCUGGUGUUUAAUCUGGUAAGCUUUCUCUAUACAGUCUGCAGUCUCUCUAGACUGAGGGCUGAGAUUUCUAGAGGGGCUGAUGAGACCUCUGAUCCAGGAGUAGACCCAGGUGUGAGGAAUCCUGAGUGGUGUGGGAAAUGGGAGGAUAUGGGCCAAAUCUUAAAGGAAUUUUCUGACCCUAUAGCCUGGGACUUUCCAUGUGAACAAAUUCAGAAUCCAGCUGAGGUGGCAAAGUACCUGAAAGAGAAGUGCCAUGAUAACUCUAAGGAGAAAAAGAUCAUUGCCGUGAGCUGGGCCCUGGCAUAUGCUUAUCGCACCCUGCUAGAUACUGUAGGGCAGCAGACAGAGGAAAGGGGGCAGGGAGAUAAAUCAGCAGCUAUCCCAGUCACUCAGGCUGCAGCCAACAGCCCAGGCUCGAAGCCAGCAGCUAAAUCAGACAGUGAGCCUAAGCUAGCAGCUAAACCAGACUCAGCAGCUAAGCCUCAACCAAUGGCUGUUGCUACUAGCACAAGAAGUGGGAAGCACACAGAAAAGACCAAUCGACCAGUGCAUGAUGAUGAUGAUAAUGCAGGAGAAGGACCCUCAAUGCCUGCUGGCAUAAAAUCAGAAGUCAAAGCAACUGGUGCAAGAUCAGAGGCCAAUAUUGAGUCCUUUUCCCUAAAGGACCUUUGUGGCCUAAGAAAGGAUUACACUCAAUGACCUGAUGAGCCUGUAAUUAGUUGGUUGGUCCGCCUUUGGGAUGCUGCAGGUGAGGCUACAACUCUGGAUGGUACUGAGGCAAGACAUUUGGGAUCCCUGUCACAUGAUCCUGUCAUUGACCAAGGAAUGAUGAGGGGGGCUAACCCUCACAGCCUCUGGGCACAGGUUCUGGAAAGUGUAGCACAAAGAUACCUGUGUGCAGAUGAUCUCUAUAUGCAGCAGAUCCAGUGGAAGACUAUAGAACAAGGGAUCCAACGUCUGAGAGAAAUGGCAGUGGCAGAGAUUAUCUUCUCAUAUGAAAUAACAACUAGAAAUCCAGACUUGGUACCAUGUACAUCUGUGAUGUGGUGAAAAC
rnacentral:lncRNA from 1 species